rnacentral:tRNA from 1 species
UUAAUUGAAGCCAAAAAGAGGCAUAUUAAUGUUAAUAAUAAAACUGAAUAAUUUUUCCAAUUAAA